GAGCGGUAAGGCCCUUCGGGGUACACGAGCGGCGAACGGGUGAGUAACACGUGAGCAACCUGCCCCUGACUCCGGGAUAAGCGGUGGAAACGCCGUCUAAUACCGGAUAUGACCUGCCACCUCAUGGUGGCGGGUGGAAAGUUUUGUCGGUCAGGGAUGGGCUCGCGGCCUAUCAGCUUGUUGGUGGGGUAACGGCCUACCAAGGCGAUUACGGGUAGCCGGCCUGAGAGGGCGACCGGCCACACUGGGACUGAGACACGGCCCAGACUCCUGCGGGAGGCAGCAGUGGGGAAUAUUGCACAAUGGGCGAAAGCCUGAUGCAGCGACGCCGCGUGGGGGAUGACGGCCUUCGGGUUGUAAACCUCUUUUACCACCAACGCAGGCUCCACGUUUUCGUGGGGUUGACGGUAGGUGGGGAAUAAGGACCGGCUAACUACGUGCCAGCAGCCGCGGUAAUACGUAGGGUCCGAGCGUUGUCCGGAAUUAUUGGGCGUAAAGAGCUCGUAGGCGGCAUGUCGCGUCUGCUGUGAAAGACCGGGGCUUAACUCCGGUUCUGCAGUGGAUACGGGCAUGCUAGAGGUAGGUAGGGGAAACUGGAAUUCCUGGUGU
rnacentral:rRNA from 1 species